GACGAACGCUGGCGGCGCGCCUAACACAUGCAAGUCGAACGGAGCUGAGAGAAGCUUGCUUUUCUUAGCUUAGUGGCGAACGGGUGAGUAACGCGUGAGUAACCUGCCCUGGAGUGGGGGACAACAGUUGGAAACGACUGCUAAUACCGCAUAAGCCCACGAUCCGGCAUCGGAUUGAGGGAAAAGGAUUUAUUCGCUUCAGGAUGGAUUCGCGUCCAAUUAGCUAGUUGGUGAGGUAACGGCCCACCAAGGCGACGAUUGGUAGCCGGACUGAGAGGUUGAACGGCCACAUUGGGACUGAGACACGGCCCAGACUCCUACGGGAGGCAGCAGUGGGGGAUAUUGCACAAUGGGGGAAACCCUGAUGCAGCGACGCCGCGUGGAGGAAGAAGGUUUUCGGAUUGUAAACUCCUGUCGUUAGGGACGAUAAUGACGGUACCUAACAAGAAAGCACCGGCUAACUACGUG
rnacentral:rRNA from 1 species